rnacentral:tRNA from 2 species
AAUAAGGUGUCUGAUUAAGGUAUUAAACUGUAAAUUUAAUUAUGAAUAACAAUAUUCUCUUGUUA